UAGGAUGGGACUGGUGGCAUUUAUUUAUUUAGUUUUUUUAAAGACAGGGUCUUGCUGUGUAGCCCAGACUGGCCUCAAACUUUCAAUCCUUCUUCCUCAGCCUCCCAAGCGCUGGACUACCAGCAUGCACCUCCACACCGGGCUGCGGUGGCUUUAUAAGAGGGAAAAGGACUGGAGCUCACAUACUUGCUCUGUCCCACCAUGUGAUGCGUUCCUCCAUGUUAGGAUGCUGGCACCUGCUGUUGGACUUCCCGGCCUCCAGAACUGACAAGAAGAUACUUCCAUCCAGUAUUGGGGAUUGAAUGCAGGACCUUUGUAUGGAGUGACAUCUCCAGACCCUGUUUCCACAUGAUGGAUUUGGCAGGUAUGAUUCAGGCUCUUGUGUGUGAAAAGCAGUGAAUUGCGUGUACACGCCUAAUGGCAAGUGGGAAGCAGCUACACUUAUUGAAGAUCAUAGGAAAUUGUCCUCAGGGCAAGUCUGUGCUGACAAAAAAUAGCACAAACAGAAAAGUGGUGUCAGGGUGACCAGAAAGCAAAAGCAUUGCACACUGCACAGCACACAGCAGCCCCCAGAUAAAUCAGGCUUUUGGAAUUUAUAGGAUAUGCACCUCAGCCCAAAUGCCUCCCCUGAAGCUCUAGGUGUGAUUGACAGAGUGCUGCUAUGUUAUUUCAGGGGCUCUCAACACUCAUGCCUGUCCCAGAAUUCACUCUGAUAUUAGUUACAUGCCAGGUAUGUAGGGCAUAUUCAUAAACUCUUAGUAAGGUUUGAGUACAGUAAAGGUGACUGAAGGUUAGGCCAAGAGAUUCAGUAUACAUGUGCUCUCGCCUGCCUAGAGCAUCAGAGAUUUACUGAGUUUUUCUUAUGUUAUUCUCUACCUCUCUCUCUUUUUUUUGUACCGGGUUCGAACUCGGUUGGGAGGCAGGCAGUGGAACCACUGAGCUAAAUCCCUGGCCCUUCUGUACCUCUCUUAGAACAAUGGAAAGAGAAAUAGCCCUAGGGUGCUGUUUAAAAUAAAAUAGGUGGGGCUUGGUGUUGUGGCUCAAGGCAAGAGGAUCACUGUGAGUUCAAGACUAGCCUGGCCUACAUAGUGAAUUCAAGGCCAGUCUGGACUACACAGAGAGACUUUGUCUCAAAAAACAAAAAAUAAAGAAAAAUAAAAUAAAAUAAAAUUGGUAGAAGGAAAUGAUUUCCUUAGCUCCAUUAUUUCUAACUGUACUAUCCCCCUGUCAAGGUUGAGCCUCCCCAGAAGCCCCCAGAGAGAGAUUCAUUUAGUCUAUAUAGUCUUUGGUACCAUGAGUGAGUUAAUUCCCCAAUAAAGAACAAGACGAGAGCCAAUCAUCAGCAAAAGAACAGCAUCAGCACAAGAGAACUAGAGCCAGAGCUCUAAAGUUCAAGAGCUGCUUGUCCGUGUUCCUUCAGCAAAAACAGAUGGAUACCUCUUUAUUUCACAGCAGUUGUAUUAAUUGUUAUCAGCUUACUGGAACAUGGUGAGACAAAACACCUGGGUGACUUUGCAUGGCCAUGAGGUACAUGUGUGGUUUUCUAUGCUGAUUCAAUAUUAUAAAACCAAGUCCCAUUGUGCACCUGCACUAAAUGACAGGGUUGUGUCCUCAGUUGUCCUCAGACACCAGGGCUUUGAAUCUAUUAAUCAGGCUUUGAGUAUAAUCAGAAGUGGUAUCCCACACCCCCACACAGAAUUUUUUUGAGUCUUGCUAAGUCACUAAGUUGCCCAAGCUGGACUUGAAUUUGUGAUCCUUCUGUCUCACCCUCCCACAGUGCUGAGGACAGGACAGCAGCUUUACAAAUAGAAACUUAUGUCUUGAUAUUAGGCAAAUAAAAAAGAGGACAGAGAGCAUUGUUUUUGGUGUCUGCUGUUUUUCAAUCAUCUUCAACUUAAAAUAUUUCUUACGUCAAUAUGACAGAUAUUUGGGUGGCAUAUUCUGAUUUUAUACACGACUUCUUUGCCGGUCUUCAUUGUCAAAUAAUACUUUGGUUAAUUAGCUGGUGCGUUUUUUUCACAUUCUAAAAUAUCUAAAGUUGGGCCGGGGAUUUAGCUCAGUGGUUCUGCCGCCUGCCUUCCAAGCACAAUGACCCGAGUUUGAUCCACAGUACCAAAAAAAAUCUAAAAUCUCUUGAAUCCAUUCAUGACUUUAUUUCCAAUAUAACCAAUAUCUACCUUGCCAAACUUAUGAUUAUCUUUCACCUAUUGAACUAGCUUUACAGUCUUCCUUACAGUUUAAACUAUGUGUUAAUCAACUUUCUGUUGCUGUGCCAACCUGAAAUAAAUGAUGUAAAGUGAGAAUUUA